rnacentral:rRNA from 1 species
UUCUGGUUUUUUCUUAAGCGGAGUGGCGGACGGGUGAGUAACACGUGGGGAACCUAUCCAUCAGCGGGGGAUAACACUUGGAAACAGGUGCUAAUACCGCAUACGGCUUUUUUUCACCUGAAAGAAAGCUCAAAGGCGCUUUACAGCGUCACUGAUGGCUGGUCCCGCCGUGCAUUAGCCAGUUGGUGAGGUAACGGCUCACCAAAGCAACGAUGCAUAGCCGACCUGAGAGGGUGAUCGGCCACACUGGGACUGAGACACGGCCCAGACUCCUACGGGAGGCAGCAGUAGGGAAUCUUCGGCAAUGGACGCAAGUCUGACCGAGCAACGCCGCGUGAGUGAAGAAGGUUUUCGGAUCGUAAAGCUCUGUUGUCAGCAAAGAACAGGAGAAAGAGGCAAUGCUUUUUCUAUGACGGUAGCUGACCAGAAAGCCACGGCUAACUACGUGCCAGCAGCCGCGGUAAUACGUAGGUGGCAAGCGUUGUCCGGAUUUAUUGGGCGUAAAGCGAGCGCAGGCGGUGAUUUAAGUCUGAUGUGAAAGCCCCCAGCUCAACUGGGGAGGGUCAUUGGAAACUGGAUCACUUGAGUGCAGAAGAGGAGAGUGGAAUUCCAUGUGUAGCGGUGAAAUGCGUAGAUAUAUGGAGGAACACCAGUGGCGAAGGCGGCUCUCUGGUCUGUAACUGACGCUGAGACUCGAAAGCGUGGGUAGCAAACGGGAUUAGAUCCUCCGGAAGUCCACCCCGUAAACGAUGAGUGCUAAGUGUUGGAGGGUUUCCGCCCUUCAGUGCUGCAGUAAACGCAUUAAGCACUCCGUCUGGGGGAGACCACCCCAAGGUUGAAACUCAAGGAAUUGA